rnacentral:rRNA from 1 species
AUUGAACGCUGGCGGCAGGCCUAACACAUGCAAGUCGAACGAGUGGUGGACGGGUGAGUAAUGUCUGGGAAACUGCCUGAUGGAGGGGGAUAAAUACUGGACACGGUCGCUAAUACCGCAUACCCUCAGAUGUGCCCAGAUGGGAUGCGCUUGUGGGGGGGGUAACGGCUCACCAAGGCGACGAUCCCUAGCUGGUCUGAGAGGAUGACCAGCCACACUGGAACUGAGACACGGUCCAGACUCCUACGUGAGGCAGCAGUGGGGAAUAUUGCACAAUGGGCGCAAGCCUGAUGCAGCCAUGCCGCGUGUGUGAAGAAGGCCUUCGGGUUGUAAAGUACUUUCAGCGGGGAGGCGUUACCCGCAGAAGAAGCACCGGCUAACUCCGUGCCAGCAGCCGCGGUAAUUC